rnacentral:rRNA from 1 species
GAUGAACGCUGGCGGCGUGCUUAACACAUGCAAGUCGAACGGUGAACACGGAGCUUGCUCUGUGGGAUCAGUGGCGAACGGGUGAGUAACACGUGAGCAACCUGCCCCUGACUCUGGGAUAAGCGCUGGAAACGGCGUCUAAUACUGGAUAUGUGACGUGACCGCAUGGUCUGCGUUUGGAAAGAUUUUUCGGUUGGGGAUGGGCUCGCGGCCUAUCAGCUUGUUGGUGAGGUAAUGGCUCAUCAAGGCGUCGACGGGUAGCCGGCCUGAGAGGGUGACCGGCCACACUGGGAUUGAGACACGGCCCAGACUCCUACGGGAGGCAGCAGUGGGGAAUAUUGCACAAUGGGCGAAAGCCUGAUGCAGCAACGCCGCGUGAGGGAUGACGGCCUUCGGGUUGUAAACCUUUUUUAGCAGGGAAGAAGCGAAAGUGACGGUACCUGCAGAAAAAGCGCCGGCUAACUACGUG